rnacentral:rRNA from 1 species
UACGAAGGGCGCAAGCGUUGUCCGGAAUUACUGGGCGUAAAGGGCGCGUAGGCGGCCUGCUAAGUCGGACGUGAAAUCCCUCGGCUCAACCGGGGAACUGCGUCCGAUACUGGCGGGCUUGAAUCCGGGAGAGGAAUGCGGAAUUCCAGGUGUAGCGGUGAAAUGCGUAGAUAUCUGGAGGAACACCGGUGGCGAAGGCGGCAUUCUGGACCGGCAUUGACGCUGAUGCGCGAAAGCCAGGGGAGCAAACGGG